rnacentral:rRNA from 1 species
GACGAACGCUGGCGGCGUGCUUAACACAUGCAAGUCGAACGGAAAGGCCCUGCUUUUGUGGGGUGCUCGGGUGGCGAACGGGUGAGUAACACGUGAGUAACCUGCCCUUGACUUUGGGAUAACUUCAGGAAACUGGGGCUAAUACCGGAUAGGAGCUCCUGCUGCAUGGUGGGGGUUGGAAAGUUUCGGCGGUUGGGGAUGGACUCGCGGCUUAUCAGCUUGUUGGUGGGGUAGUGGCUUACCAAGGCUUUGACGGGUAGCCGGCCUGAGAGGGUGACCGGCCACAUUGGGACUGAGAUACGGCCCAGACUCCAACGGGAGGCAGCAGUGGAGAAUAUUGCACAAUGGGCGGAAGCCUGAUGCAGAAACGCCGCGUGCGGGAUGACGGCCUUCGGGUUGUAAACCGCUUUCGCCUGUGACGAAGCGUGAGUGACGGUAAUGGGUAAAGAAGCACCGGCUAACUACGUG